rnacentral:tRNA from 1 species
GAGGGUAUAGCUCAGUGGCAGAGCACAUGCUUAGCAUGCAUGAGGUCUUGGGUUCAAUCCCCAGUACCUCCU